GUUGUUGCUUCAGCACCACAAAUAAUAAAAUUAGAACAAUACAGAGAAGAUUACCAUGGCCCUGAGCAAGAUGACAUGCAAACUCACAAAAUAUUACAUAUUUCU